rnacentral:rRNA from 1 species
CUAUGCGCCUUGCCAGCCCGCUCAGGUGUGCCAGCCGCCGCGGUAAUACGUAGGGGGCAAGCGUUAUCCGGAUUUACUGGGUGUAAAGGGCGUGUAGGCGGGAAAGCAAGUCAGAUGUGAAAACCAUGGGCUCAACCUGUGGCCUGCAUUUGAAACUGUUUUUCUUGAGUACUGGAGAGGCAGACGGAAUUCCUAGUGUAGCGGUGAAAUGCGUAGAUAUUAGGAGGAACACCAGUGGCGAAGGCGGUCUGCUGGACCGUAACUGACGUUGAGGCUCGAAAGCGUGGGGAGCAAACAGG